CAUCCCAAGGAAGCGAAACCUGUCAAUGCCGAUUUUCUACAAUAUCUUAUAUUUUCACUAACAUCACAAGCGAGCAAAUUGGAUUCAGCAAGUGUAUUAGUGUAAUGAUUCUUUACAAGGUUUUAUAUUUGUCUUCUACAUCAUAAGGGGGUAAGUUUGUUUCAGCAAGCGUAUUAGUGUAAUGAUUCUUUACAAGGUUUUAUAUUUGUCUUCUACAUCAUAAGGGGGUAAGUUUGUUUCAGCAAGCGUAUUAGUGUAAUGAUUCUUU
rnacentral:lncRNA from 1 species